rnacentral:rRNA from 1 species
ACGGCGAGUGAAGCGGCAAGAGCUCCAAUUUGAAAUCUGGCCCCCUUGGGGUCCGAGUUGUAAUUUGCAGAGGAUGCUUCGGGUGCGGUCCCCGUCUAAGUGCCCUGGAACGGGCCGUCAUAGAGGGUGAGAAUCCCGUCUGGGAUGGGCGGCCGCGCCCGUGUGAAGCUCCUUCGACGAGUCGAGUUGUUUGGGAAUGCAGCUCUAAGCGGGUGGUAAAUUUCAUCUAAAGCUAAAUACUGGCCGGAGACCGAUAGCGCACAAGUAGAGUGAUCGAAAGAUGAAAAGCACUUUGAAAAGAGAGUUAAACAGCACGUGAAAUUGUUGAAAGGGAAGCGUUGUCCACCAGACUCGCCCGGGGGGGCUCAGCCGGCACGUGUGCCGGUGUACUCCCCUCCGGGCGGGCCAGCAUCGGUUUGGGCGGCUGGUGAAAGGCCCCGGGAAUGUACCACCCUCCGGGGUGCCUUAUAGCCCGGGGUGUCAUGCAGCCAGCCUGGACCGAGGCCCGCGCUUCGGCGAGGAUGCUGGCGUAAUGGUGGUCAACGGCCCGUCUUGAAACACGGACCAAGGAGUCUAACAUCUAUGCGAGUGUUCGGGUGUCAAACCCGUCCGCGCAGUGAAAGCGAACGGAGGUGGGAGCCCCUCGGGGCGCACCAUCGACCGAUCCUGAUGUCUUCGGAUGGAUUUGAGUAAGAGCAUAGCUGUUGGGACCCGAAAGAUGGUGAACUAUGCCUGAAUAGGGCGAAGCCAGAGGAAACUCUGGUGGAGGCUCGCAGCGGUUCUGACGUGCAAAUCGAUCGUCAAAUUUGGGUAUAGGGGCGAAAGACUAAUCGAACCAUCUGGUAGCUGGUUCCUGCCGAA